rnacentral:lncRNA from 1 species
CGGAGCCUAUAGCUUGGUGAUGGAGCCUAAACAGUUGGUUUUGCAGUACAAGGGAAUGAACUCUCCUAAACCACUUGUCUACUUCAAAUCAUCUGUUUGGCCAAGUACACAAGAUGGUACUUUACAAACUGUGACACUAAAUGUUGAGGAAACAAGUGAUGGCUUUGCUUAUUACGUUUUGUUAGACUACACAGUGGCUAACUUGUCCAGCGGGACCGGAAAUCUCAUCUUGACAAGGGCGAAAUACAACAGCACAUUGUCGAUUCUUCGACUCGGGAUCGAUGGAAACCUGAGGGUUUUUACCUACUAUGACAAGGUUGAUUUACAGGCAUGGGAAGAGACUUUCACUCUCUUCUCUAGGGACUCAAUAUGGGGCACUGAAUGCGAACUACCGGAGAGGUGUGGGAACUUUGGACUCUGUGAGGAGAACCAAUGCGUUGCUUGCCCGUCACCAAACGGAUUACUCGGUUGGAGCCGGAAUUGUCAGCCGAAGAAGGUGAAUUGUAGGCCGAAUGGUUUCAGCUACUUCAAGCUAGAAGGAGUGGACCAUUUCAUGAGCCAGUACAAUGAAGGAGAAGGGAUAAAGGAGAGUGAUUGUGGGAGGAAAUGCACCUCUGAUUGCAAGUGUUUGGGGUACUUUUACCACAGGGAAACAUCCAAAUGUUGGACCGCUAAUGAGUUGAAAACCCUUGCUAAAGCCUCUAACUCUUCCCAUGUUGGUUACAUAAAGGUACCCAACAAGUGAUGGGAAUCCUAUGAAGUAUUUGUACUUUUUCCUCUGUAUUUUCCAGUUUCUUUGUUGUCUGCUAAUAAGUAUUUGUAAGUUUGAAUUACAAAUUAAAGUUUUAUUUAAAAGUAUCAAUCAAGUGUAUGUGUAGUCAGUAAACUAAAUUUGAAAUGCAUUGAGUGGACCAAGUGCAAGUUCUCAUGGCUCUUCUCUUUGGGCGCAUAAACGAAUAAAGACAGAAUGGUACAGACUAGUAAAGGAACUGUGUAGUGUUCACAGAAUAGGAAAACUAUACUCGUUUAUAGUUGUGUACACUCCAAAUUUAAAAAGAUUUGGGUAAAAUAUUAAGUUCAAAAAAUAAAUUUAAGCAAAAAAUAAAAAAUCUAUUUAAGAUAUGGGUUAAGUUUAAACUUGAACAUUCAAAACUCGAACUCAAUUUCAAAUAAUUUUUUUAAAGUUUGUAAUAUUAUAUUAUUAAAAUUUUAUAUAUAAUCUUCUUAAAUUUUUUUAAUGGUUAGAUUAUAGUAGUAUUAUAGAAUUAAUUUUUUGUAUUAUAAAUUAUACAAUAUAUAAAAAUAGCAUAAUAUAAAACAUUACAAACUUUUAAAAAAAUGUCAAAUCAAGUUUGGGCUUUGAAUAUUUAAGCUUAAGCUCAUUUUAUAAUUUUGCUCAAACCCUCUAAAAUUUUAAGGGGACGUUCGGAUUUAAACAAGUAACUUUUACUAUGAACAGGUCUAAUUUAUAUUCUUUUUACUAAUAUACAAUAUACCUUACUAUUAUAAUCAAUACUUAUUUUUGUUAAAAUAUUAGAUUAAAUUAAAUUAAAUUAAAUUGAUACCAUUAACUUGAAACAUCGUGAUCUAAAAUUUCUAUAUUUCAAUAUAAUAUUGAGAAAAGGGGAUGGAAGAUAACAGAAUUUAAAUUCAUAUAAUUUAAGUGCUUGUGAGAAGCUUUCAUUAUUGCUAACAUUGAAUAUAUAUAUAUUUUUUAUUUUUUAAGGAAUUUAUUGGAGUGAAUUAAUCUUUUACAUUUUAUACAUUCAUUAAGAGAAUAGAUAUUAAUCACGAGUUUUAAAGGUGCUUUAUACUCAGGACAAAUAUCGAACUCUUAACCACUGAUCAAGCCCUAUACAAUUGAAAUACGAAAGCAAUAGCUAAAAGUUUGUUACCAGAUACAGCGCAACCUAAACAACAAGCGAGGGUCCCGUAGAGAUGCUUUGUUGCCUUAUCUUCCAACCGGCCCGCCGUUUAGAUGUAAUUGCACCACAGCUAAGCUUGACGUCUUCAAGACUUUCAAAGCCAUCACAAAAGACUCAAACCAACGGUGGCUUGCUCGUGUUUAUCCAUUACAAUAUCUCCUAACACUGAAAUAUUAGUGAAGUAUAUUUUUAUAAAUAAAAUAAUUAUAUUAUUAUGAAUUUAUAUUUGUAUAUAAAAUUAAUAUAAAUUUAAUUACGAUGAAAUUUGAAUUCAUGAUAUAAUAAAUUUUAAAUAUUUAAUUUUAUCAUUUUAACCAUAUUUAAUUUCUACCUCAAGUUUUAAUAAGUAUAUUUGUUACACAAAUUGCGGGUAUGAAUAAGUUGUUAAAUGACUUAUGAACAUCUCUUUUAUCAUUAAAAUUUUAAACUAAAAGUGAAUAACUUAUUUACCUAAAUAAAUAUAAAUGUGUAGUUAAGGUUUAAGGCAGGGGUGAAUAGAGGGGUAGGCAGGGGCUUUGGUCUCCUAAAAAUUAGAAAAUUGUAAUUCUAGUUCUCCAUAAAUGAUCAAAUUAUAAAUUAAUAUAAGGGAAAAUUCUGCUUUAGUCCCCUAAAAAAUUUCCGAAUUCACCCCUAGUUUAGGGCAUUAUUUUCAUAAACAUACUGAAUUAGUUGGUUGGAUCAAUUAAACCGAGAACCAACCGAAGUAGUACUAAAUACACAAAUCAUCAUCUAUAUCUAUACUGAAAUUAUUUUUAUCAGGUGAAAAUUAAUUUUUUCUCACAAGCAAGUUGGAGCGGUGACAAAUGUCUCAUUUAUUUAAUUUUUAAAAAUUUUAAAACUACUCAAAAGACACUCAUAAUCAUGGUAAGAGUACUAGUAGAUUUCUGAUACACCAAAUAAUUAUCCAUUACUUAUUGGUCGAUUGAGUUGAGAAUCGCUUAUCAAUAUUUAUAAGAUUAGUUAAAAUAUACGUAUAUUGAAACCUAAACCACACUACUUUGGUUUCCUUGUUGAACUUCAAAAUUUUAUUUGCUUGCCAGUAAAUAUAGUUAAAUAAUAAUAAUACAAGUAGGAUAUGAUAUGAUUGAUUAUCCCCAAGAUUGUAGAUAUAAAAUUUCUUUUACAAUUAAAAAUAUAGAAAGGAAGAUCAGUUAGACACACUACGUAUCCCAGCUUGCUUUUACACAAAUUGAUAAUGAAUUUAUUUAUUAAUGUUUUGAUGACCAAGUUUUUCCAUAAUCUCAAGAUAAUUUACAUGAUGCUGACCCUCUAAAUUUAACUUAUUAAAUCCUAUUUAUUUAUCUUAAAACAUAAGAAAUUGUGAAAUAAUCUAACAGAGACAUGCACGUAACCAUAGGGUUUAUAGGAACUGUCUUGUCUGUAGCAAAUUGAAGAAACCUUUUUUGGCGUCUCACCUUCUAAAUUACGUCGUUUUAUUAUAGUAUAUAUGAUUGAUGCUUUAGCUUUGAUAAUGCAAGACAGGAAAUGACAGCAGGUGGGCCUGGAAUCCUGAAAUUAUUCUGGUCAAGCAAGACCCUUUUAAUUAUUAAUUUAGCACCCAACUUUUGCCAAACUAUUAAAGUUGAGGUCUUAUUCUUCCUCCACUCCCUGUAAUUUUGAGAACUUUAAAUUUAAGUCCUACUUUUCAUUCUAGUCCCUUUACUUGUUUGUUUGAAAAUUAAAGUACAAUUGAUGACACUUUUAUUGAAUUUGAGUUGUCAAUUGGACUUCAUUCAAUUUUUAAAUCAGACUUUUUAUUUUUUUUCUAAAGUUGUACUAUUACAAAUACAAUACAAGUACAAAUAUAUGUCCGAACAAUUAUAAUAUAGAAUUAAAUCAAUAUAAAGUACAGUGAAUAAAAAAACUAGACAAGAACCCUGCAAAACCCUCUCAUGGCAAAUGUGUAUGGUGAGGCGGGAGACUCAUCGCAAUUAUGCAUGAUGAACGCAAACCUGGGUAUUCAAAUUUAAAGAAAUUUCAUUAAUACUAUUAUCAAUUAAAGUUUAAAUUUUAAGUUAAACAAUCGGAGGGAUUUAAUUUUUGGAGUUAAAGACAUAGGGAUUAAAUUUUAAAGGUCUUAAGAUUACACAGACUGUGGGGAGAAUUAAACCAAACUUUAAUUACUCUCUUUUCAAUCGACUUAAAUAUUUAGCCUAAGUCAAUCCUAAUCCUAAAUUUAAGAGAACCUAAUUAAACAUUUAAAUGGCUUACUUUGAAGGGAAAAUUGUUCAGUCGGCGGUGCAAUUCGAAGAAUAAUUAUGGUUCCAUUGUAGCAGCCUCUGCUUUAACUUGGCUGACCAGAUUUUCGAAUGUCAACAUCGACUGCACCUUAAGAUAAUAUAAGGUCAAAAUCAUUGUGGAUCAGAUUGAUAUCUUCUAGUAGAAGGCAAAGAUUGUUUUUUUCUUUUUUCAAAAUAUUUUUGAAAACCCAAUUUUUUAAUCCCAUGAACUUAUUUUAUUAUACCUUUGAUGGUAUCCAAUGUGCCUUCAUUGAAUCCUUAUAAAUAGACCAUGCUUAGUUGCUCCAUCUCCAUAUCAUCAAAGCUUUCAUAGCCAAAAAUGUCUCUUUACCCUUCUCUCACCAUGUCAUUGCUGUCUUUUUCCUUCUUGUUGCUGUUUGCUUUUAGUGCCAAAGCUGUUGUUCCUCCAUCUGAAACUUUUAGGUUUGUCAACGAAGGGGAAUUUGGGCCUUUUAUUGUUGAAUAUGGUGCAGAUUACCGUGUCAUAAGCAUAGCUAAUGCCCCCUUCCAGCUUGCGUUUUAUAACACCACGCCUAAUGCCUUCACCCUUGCGUUACGCAUGGCUACAACACGUUCCGAGUCGCUCUUCCGAUGGGUUUGGGAGGCCAACAGGGGGAACCCUGUUCGCGAGAACGCCACGUUCUCUCUCGGGACUGACGGGAACCUUGUCUUGGCUGAUGCCGAUGGUCGGAUUGCUUGGCAAAGUAACACUGCCAACAAAGCUGUGGUAGGGUUCCAAUUGUUGCCUAAUGGUAACAUGGUGUUACACGAUUCCAAUGGCAAGUUCAUUUGGCAAAGUUUUGAUCAUCCAACUGACACACUCUUGGUGGGUCAGUCGCUUAGAGCCGGAGGGGCGACGAAGCUUGUGAGCCGGGCUUCUGCUCAAAACAAUGUCAACGGAGCCUACAGCUUGGUGAUGGAGCCUAAACAGUUGGUUUUGCAGUACAAGGGAAUGAACUCUUCUAAACCACUUGUCUACUUCAAAUCAUCCGUUUGGCCAAAUACACAAGAUGGUACUUUACAAACUGUGACACUAAAUGUCGAGGAAACAAAUGAUGGUUUUGCAUAUGACGUUUUGUUAGACUACACAGUGGCUAACUCGUCCAUCGGGACCGGAAAUCUCAUCUUGACAAGGCCGAAAUAUAACAGCACAUUGUCGAUUCUUCGACUCGGGAUCGAUGGAAACCUGAGGGUUUUUACCUACUAUGACAAGGUUGAUUCACAGGCAUGGGAAGAGACUUUCACUCUCUUCUCUAGGGACUCAGUAUGGGGCAAUGAAUGUGAACUACCGGAGAGGUGUGGGAACUUUGGACUCUGUGAGGAGAACCAAUGCGUUGCUUGCCCGUCACCAAACGGAUUACUCGGUUGGAGCCGGAAUUGUCAGCAGAAGAAGGUGAACUGUAGGCCGAACGAUUUCAGCUACUACAAGCUAGAAGGAGUGAACCAUUUCAUGAGCCAGUACAAUGAAGGAGAAGGGAUAAAGGAGAGUGAUUGUGGGAGGAAAUGCACCUCCGAUUGCAAUUGUUUGGGGUACUUUUACCACAGGGAAACAUCCAAAUGUUGGAUCGCUAACGAGUUGAAAACCCUUGCUAAAACCUCGAACUCUUCCCAUGUUGGUUACAUAAAGGCACCCAACAAGUGAUGGGAAUCCUAUUAAGUAUUUGUACUUUUUCUUCUGUAUUUUCCAGUUUCUUUUUUGUCUGCUAGUAUGUAUUUGUGAGUUUGAAU